rnacentral:rRNA from 1 species
GAUGAACGCUGGCGGCGUGCCUAAUACAUGCAAGUCGAGCGAACAGACGAGGAGCUUGCUCCUCUGACGUUAGCGGCGGACGGGUGAGUAACACGUGGAUAACCUACCUAUAAGACUGGGAUAACUUCGGGAAACCGGAGCUAAUACCGGAUAAUAUAUUGAACCGCAUGGUUCAAUAGUGAAAGACGGUUUUGCUGUCACUUAUAGAUGGAUCCGCGCCGCAUUAGCUAGUUGGUAAGGUAACGGCUUACCAAGGCAACGAUGCGUAGCCGACCUGAGAGGGUGAUCGGCCACACUGGAACUGAGACACGGUCCAGACUCCUACGGGAGGAAGCAGUAGGGAAUCUUCGGCAAUGGGCGAAAGCCUGACGGAGCAACGCCGCGUGAGUGAUGAAGGUCUUCGGAUCGUAAAACUCUGUUAUUAGGGAAGAACAAAUGUGUAAGUAACUAUGCACGUCUUGACGGUACCUAAUCAGAAAGCCACGGCUAACUACGUG